CAGAACAUAGCUAAACUAUAGCUCUUCGCUUACACUGAAAAGUUGCCUGUGCAACCAGGUUGUUCUGA
rnacentral:tRNA from 1 species